ensembl:snoRNA small nucleolar RNA SNORA13
UGCCUUUGUGUUGCCCAUUCAUUGUCCCCCGGGUGAAUGGGUGUCAAACAAGGCAUACAGUAACCUUGUGGUUGUCUACAUUUGUGAGGAGUCUCCACAGACUCCUUUCAAUAACUACAGCUGCAAGAACAUGU